AACAGGAUUAGAUACCCUGGUAGUCCACGCCCUAAACGAUGUCAACUGGUUGUUGGACGGCUUGCUGUUCAGUAACGAAGCUAACGCGUGAAGUUGACCGCCUGGGGAGUACGGCCGCAAGGUUGAAACUCAAAGGAAUUGACGGGGACCCGCACAAGCGGUGGAUGAUGUGGUUUAAUUCGAUGCAACGCGAAAAACCUUACCUACCCUUGACAUGCCAGGAACUUGCCAGAGAUGGCUUGGUGCUCGAAAGAGAGCCUGGACACAGGUGCUGCAUGGCCGUCGUCAGCUCGUGUCGUGAGAUGUUGGGUUAAGUCCCGCAACGAGCGCAACCCUUAUCAUUAGUUGCUACGCAAGGGCACUCUAAUGAGACUGCCGGUGACAAACCGGAGGAAGGUGGGGAUGACGUCAGGUCAUCAUGGCCCUUAUGGGUAGGGCUACACACGUCAUACAAUGGCCGGUACAGAGGGCUGCCAACCCGCGAGGGGGAGCUAAUCUCAGAAAACCGGUCGUAGUCCGGAUCGCAGUCUGCAACUCGACUGCGUGAAGUCGGAAUCGCUAGUAAUCGCGGAUCAGCUUGCCGCGGUGAAUACGUUCCCGGGUCUUGUACACACCGCCCGUCACACCAUGGGAGCGGGUUCUGCCAGAAGUAGUUAGCCUAACCGCAAGGAGGGCGAUUACCACGGCAGGGUUCGUGACUGGGGGUGAAGUCGUAACAAGGUAACCGUA
rnacentral:rRNA from 1 species